rnacentral:lncRNA from 1 species
ACCUGGAUGGGGGCCCACAGGGCCAGCGUGCAGCUGAGCCAGGACUGUGCCAGCACCUCGCAAGGAGCCUUGGAAUUCAGUGUGCGAGAGGCCACUGCAGUACUCACCUGUGACUCAGCAUGUCCCUGGAAAUCUGUCAGCCUGGAGGAGAGCAGGAGGGCAUGGGGACACCUCCUAGGGGCCCCAAGUUUGGAGGAUAUGCUGCCAGCAGAGUGUGAGGAGUGAGAGGCACCGCUGCCUGCCUACCUGCCACUGGAGGACCAGGCCCCUACAUCCCCGACAAGCCUGCUCACCGAGACUGAGUGGGGUAGCAGUGGCUACUAUGCCUUGGGCUGCUCUGGAGGGAUGCAACCCUUCAGCCCUCUCAGGAAGCACAUGGAGCCCUGAACCCAUCCCAGCCCUGCCCCAUGGCCUGUCACAUGACCACUGGGGCUUGGAGACCUAGCGAGGAGGUACCUGGGCGGUGAAUGGUCCAAGCUAGAGGCAUGGGCUGCACAGGGACAUCCAGGGCCCACAAUCCCCUCCUGUC